UAAGAGCGCACCGCACCUCUGGUAACAGAGUGUGGCAAGGUAAACUCCACCCGGAGCAAGACCAAAUAGGAUCCCUUAACGUGUGGCCCGCAUGGGGAUCGGGUAGGUUGCUUGAAUCAGUGAGUGAUUGCUGAUCUAGAGGAAUGAUUGCCCACGACAGAACCCGGCUUACGGCCAACUCCACUC
rnacentral:RNase_P_RNA from 1 species